ACGAAUCUAGACGUUCCACCGCUUUAAACUCGCAAAAAAAAAGAAAGAAAGCUCCACCGUGUCUAUCAGCUCCUCCCGACUCCGCGCGGCUGUGGUCACAGGCGUCCAUCCAGAUCUCCUCGCCGCCUUCCUCAGUCGCUGCCCACGGCACCGUCCCCGCCCAACGCGCGCGCCGCCACCAGGAGCCUCAUCUCCGCUCUCCAUCCGUACGAGUUCCUGGUCCUUGAAGCGGUCCGGAGCGGGGCGUACAGAGGCAGGCUCGCCGCGGGUGAGACAUGGAGGGAGGCUGGAGGCCACCACGGCCUGGCAGCUGGGAGACGUGGGCACGGCUGCUGAUGCUCCCCACUCUCUUCUCACAUCUGGGCUUUUCUGGAAAACUCAAUGGAGGCCGAGCCGUCCGGCAACGGGAGAAGUGACGGAAGGGAUGGGAACCGCGACGGGGAUGGAGGCGGCCACAGGCGGGGCGGACGCUGCGGCGUCCACCAGCGAAAGAGAGGCGGGCGGGGCGGAAGGGAUGGAGACCGCGACGUCCAGCGACGGGAUGGAGGCGGGCACCGGCGGGGCGGACGCCGCGGCGUUCACCAGCAAAAGGGAGGCAGGCGGGGCUGUGGGGGUGAUGGAGACCGCGGUGUCCACCGGCGGCGGCGCCUCACCUCCCACUCGACUGGUCCGAUCUCCUUGGAGGGUUUGGCGGUCGCCCUCUUCAGUCCUCGCCGUGUUCACUGCCCCUCGAGGUCCUGCAAGUCGCCGACACUACUACUGCAGUGGCGUUGUCACAUAGACAACCAGUUGGAAGUGUCAUGCCGGGUGCACAGUCCAGUCCUCCCCGACUGCAAGCCGCUGAAUACUAUGAGAAUCGAGCUGCUCGCUCUUCUUUUCUUUCAGAUCAGAGAUGCUUUAACCCAGAGGCAGGUAAACAUGUACCUCUGCUCUUUCUAUUUUCUUCCUUUCUUGCUGUGUUGGUAUUCCAAAAAAAGUUGCGGUGUAUGUGUUUGAAUCAGGCUUUGUGCUAUGGAUAGUAAUGCCUCUAGCAAGUUCAUAUCCCAUUACCUCUUUGGCCUUUUAGUUUGGUGGUCAAAAAUUGAGAUGACACCCAGUCUUGUGAGAUCAGCAUUACCACACAACAAGAGCUGCAGACAACGCCAAUAAUAGAAGGAAUUUGGGAUGUCACAAUAAACCUUAUUAUUAUUUUUUAUAAUUUCUCUUGACGUCAGUGCACCUUCUCAUAUGUUAACAUCUUCUAUGUCAUCAUGGUGUACACACAUAUAUGAAGUGAAGCAAUAUUGUGGACAACUCAAGAAUACAGGCAUUUGCCAUUUGCACUCAUGGAGUAGGCAUUACCUCGAUUUUAUGUUCUUAUUCAAAUAUCGUGUGUCGAUUUCUUGAUUAAAACGUCUCUGUGAAAGCUGAUUUUUGGAUUUGCUAAUUUAAGAAGCAGAUAAGUUUCCAUGAACAACACAUGCCACCGUUAAUGUAAUAUUAUUCUGAGCACUAUUUCCUUGAAAACCUGAGUGAAAUGUACUAUUUCCAUUUAUCUAAAAUGAUCUUACAGUUCUGCUGACAAGAAAAUUUAUCAAUGUAUUACUGUUCCUACAUUUGUUCACCCUUGGUCUGCAGGUUAAGAUGGCAAGCCUGUACAAGUACUCUUUCUGUACAGAGAAUGGUACUGUGCUAGCGCAAUCCAUCUUUGAUGUUCCUGGUAGAUGGAUCAUAUUAGUCAUUACGUGUGCUAUCCUGAAGCUACGAUUUUGAUGUGACAAUGCAAGAAGAUUGGUGUCGAGGCAAAUACUUACGGUGACAAUGCAAAAAGAUUGGUGUCGAUCUUAACUGCGCUUGGGACAAAUUCAUCUCCAUGGGGAUCAGCUAAGGCAAUCUUAUUUUAUAGUAAAUUUUUUUCCACAUGAAUUUAAUCAAUUGAUGUUUGUGUGUUUAGUGGAAGGUUCAUGGUACUUGGUUUAGGGUUAGGUUUGUUUUUCGGAAUAACAUCUGCUGAAACCUGAAACAGUUAGAUGCAAUAGUUAGAUCGUCUAUGAAUAUGAACCAAGGUAGUUAAUUUUUCAUUCCCCCUCCUCACUAAUUAUAGCAGUAUAAAUGUCAAUGGACGGACUGCAUCUAGAAUCUUAGUGGAUGAUAACUUCUUUUCCUCAGAUUCAGCCGAUGUAUAUACAUCCUAAUAUGCCAACUGGUAAAAAAAGUAGUAAUAUUGAUUCUUCCGUAUCUGAGCUUAAUUUGCCCCAUUUACCAUAAACCUAAAAAUAUCCAUUCUGCUGAGUGCGCUGAAUGCCUUAUAUGUACAUCACCGUGCUUCAUGACUCAUAUAUACUCGACAGAUGAACACACACAGAAAAGUUUCAGCUAUCAGUGUUGUCAUGUCGUACAAUAUACCGAGUAUUUUAUGGCUGAUUUACAUGGGACAGAAUGUUACUGAGCACGAUGAAAUACAUAUUUUGUUUACUGUAUAUAGUUUGUUGCGAUGCGUAUACAUCCUGGCUACAUAACCAUGAUUGGUCGAGUAAGCACAGCAAAUUGUAUGGCAUCAGCACCCCAUUUCAUUACGCCAUUGUCUUCUGAAUAAUGCUCUGUAGAUUCUUGGAAGCUUUUUCAUUAUUUGGCAUGCUAGAUAAUGGCACUGCUAUACUAUGUUGUUCGGAUAUGAUUUCUUUGUAUAUAGUGUUCAAGGUAUAAUAUAUCUCUGCCUUGGAGCGAAGUCAAGCUAGGGAUCACAUACAUGUCAACGAGGCUGCUCUUAUUAACUCGAGAAAGCCCAUGAAAUUUCUCCAGAGGAUAAAACUAUUGCCGAGGUUCUAUAGCAUGGUUUACUUUUCUCCUAUUGCCGAGGUUCUGAAGUAUGGUUUACUUUUCUCCUGCAUAAACAAUAAUAAUUAUGCUGAUCUUACGCUCCUUCCCUGAAUUAUAUUGAGACCAGCUAAAGUAUAGGGAAUGCUAGGUGACGUUUGAUUUGGUCUGAAUGCCUACAAUGGUGAACAUUUUUAUUUCUCCCUUCAUAAAAAGUUUCUAUUUGGGAAUGUAUGUUGUUCCAUGAUGUAUCUCCAAUUUCUCAGCGGUGCUAAUUGUACUUUCUGUUGUAACAAGGUCUGCUAUAUACCAGAAUCUUAGCCAAACAUUCAUCAUGAGCAUAUACAAAAUUUUAAGGAACAAUCUUUUAUGUAGCUAUUACCUUUGUUGAUCUGCAAGAACACAGUUCAGGAUAUCUGAAUCUGAUUUGUGCACCGAACUAAGGGUAAUUUUUCCCAAGUACUUAGAUUUCUGUUGUACGUGCUGCUUUCUUGCAUCUGAUCCUGUUAUAAUGUUCAAUUGUGGGAACCUGAGUACUUCCUUUAAACAGUCUAAAGAAAAUGGUUUCUGGUGCACACCUCCCGUCUUCGAAGAACUUGACGUCUACGUUCAUUGGUCGAUGAUGUCCGGGACCUCAAGGCGUGGAUCAACCUGGCCAAGGAGAUGUAGGUAUAUGUGAAUGGCAUCGGAAAGAAAGUUCCAUUGCUUUCUUAUCAUUGGUUGUCUCCGAGAUUUCUUCCCUGCAUGUGCUAUACAAAAUAUGAUUUUGGCUGGUGGUAUACCGAAGUAUGGCUUUGUCGAAUUUCCACAAGUUGCUAUUGUAGCCCAGUUUCAGAUAGAUUUAAA